rnacentral:rRNA from 1 species
GACGAACGCUGGCGGCGUGCUUAACACAUGCAAGUCGAACGGAAAGGCCCUGCUUUUGCGGGGUGCUCGAGUGGCGAACGGGUGAGUAACACGUGAGUAACCUGCCCUUGACUUUGGGAUAACUUCUGGAAACUGGGGCUAAUACCGGAUAGGAGCUCCUGCUGCAUGGUGGGGGUUGGAAAGUUUCGGCGGUUGGGGAUGGUCUCGCGGCUUAUCAGCUUGUUGGUGGGGUAGUGGCUUACCAAGGCUUUGACGGGUAGCCGGCCUGAGCGGGUGACCGGGCACAUGAGGACUGAGAUACGGCCCAGACUCCUACGGGAGGCAGCGGUGGAGAAUAUGGCACAGUGGGCGGAAGCGUGAUGCAGCAGCGCCGCGUGCGGGAUGACGGCCUUCGGGUUGUAAACCGCUGUCGCCUGUGACGAAGCGUGAGUGACGGUAAUGGGUAAAGAAGCACCGGCUAACUACGUG